rnacentral:rRNA from 1 species
GAUGAACGCUGGCGGCGUGCCUAAUACAUGCAAGUAGAACGCUGAAGGAGGAGCUUGCUCUUCUGGAUGAGUUGCGAACGGGUGAGUAACGCGUAGGUAACCUGCCUGGUAGCGGGGGAUAACUAUUGGAAACGAUAGCUAAUACCGCAUGACAACAGUUAUUGCAUGAUAACUGUUUAAAAGGGGCAACUGCUCCACUACCAGAUGGACCUGCGUUGUAUUAGCUAGUUGGUGAGGUAACGGCUCACCAAGGCGACGAUACAUAGCCGACCUGAGAGGGUGAACGGCCACACUGGGACUGAGACACGGCCCAGACUCCUACGGGAGGCAGCAGUAGGGAAUCUUCGGCAAUGGACGGAAGUCUGACCGAGCAACGCCGCGUGAGUGAAGGAGGUUUUCGGAUCGUAAAGCUCUGUUGUAAGAGAAGAACGAGUGUGAGAGUGGAAAGUUCACACUGUGACGGUAUCUAACCAGAAAGGGACGGCUAACUACGUG